UACGUAGGGGGCAAGCGUUGUCCGGAUUCAUUGGGCGUAAAGAGCGUGUAGGCGGCCAGGUAGGUCGGUUGUGAAAACUGGAGGCUCAACCUUCAGACGUCGACCGAAACCAUCUGGCUAGAGUCCGGGAGAGGUGAGUGGAACUGCGAGUGUAGAGGUGAAAUUCGUAGAUAUUCGCAAGAACACCAGUGGCGAAGGCGGCUCACUGGCCCGAUACUGACGCUGAGGCACGAAAGCGUGGGGGAGCAAACAGG
rnacentral:rRNA from 1 species